rnacentral:rRNA from 1 species
CGUCGGUGGCGAGCGUUGUCCGGAUUUACUGGGCGUAAAGAGCGCGCAGGCGGUCGUGCAAGUCGCGUGUGAAAGCCCCCGGCUCAACUGGGGAGGGUCACGCGAUACUGCUCGACUCGAAGGCAGGAGAGGGAAGUGGAAUUCCCGGUGUAGUGGUGAAAUGCGUAGAUGUCGGGAGGAACACCAGUGGCGAAGGCGACUUCCUGGCCUGUUCUUGACGCUGAGGCGCGAAAGCUAGGGUAGCAAACGGGAUUAGAUACCCCGGUAGUCCUAGCCGUAAACGAUGGACACUAGGUGUUGGUGGUAUCAACCCCGCCAGUGCCGAAGCUAACGCAUUAAAUGUCCCGCCUGGGGAGUACGGCCGCAAGGCUA